rnacentral:rRNA from 1 species
GAGCACGUAGGUGGGUUUGUAAGUCAGACGUGAAAGCCUUCUGUUCAACGGAAGAAUUGCAUCUGAAACUACAAACCUUGAGUGUAGGAGGGGAGAAUGGAACUUCUGGUGGAGCGGUGAAAUGCGUAGAUAUCAGAAGGAACGCCGGCGGCGAAAGCGAUUCUCUGGCCUAUUACUGACACUCAGUGUGCGAAAGCUAGGGGAGCAAACGGGAUUAGAUACCCCGGUAGUCCUAGCCGUAAACGAUGGGCACUAAGUAGAGGCG